CAAGUGAUUUUUCUGGAGAUUCUGGAUCAAAAAAUGAGAAAUGCUGGGAAGGCAAUCCUGCAUGGAGCUGCUAGUCUAGGUCCUAGCCCAGCCCCACAGCAGCGCUCUCGGGGGACAAUGUGGUCUAGGGCCAUAGCAAAACUCACAGUGAGGACGCCUUGGGCAGGAUGUUCACAGAGGCAGCCAGCUUCUUAUCCAGGCUAGCCCUAAAGCAAACAGACAGAGUCACCGUCACCAGGCCAAGAAUAAGUAUUUGAGCACCGACCCAAGACGGGCAUGCCCCCCUCACUCAAGCUGACUCCCCUGCUGUACCAUAACAGGAUCAAUUCAGCCACUGGUUUCCAACCCUUCCACCGUCGUUUUAUUCUAUCACCACCUUCUGCCUUUACCUCUCAGGAGAUGGAAGCCCAGAGAUGGAAGACUUGCCUAAGGUCAUAUGUGGAGCUGGCAGCAGAGAGGACACUAGAAUCCAGGUCUUCCAAUUCAACACUCAGGAUUUUCACCCUGGCCCCAAAUGGAAAUGAUUCCAGUUAAUUUUUCUAGCUAAGAAUGUGUCUUUCAAUAAAGAGAUCUAAGAACCUGCCAGGAACCAGACAUGAACAAUCCAGAACAGAGAGGCAGCAGACUAAACUCUAAAGAACACUACGGAAGACAGACCUUGUAGCCUGGAGCUGAGGGACCAGGCCUCAGUGCUGGCUCCGGAGCUAAGCUGGGGUUCCUGCCUGCUCCUGUUCCUGGGGCUCUCCCUGUCAUGUACCAUGUGCUCUCCUUGUACAGAUCGUGGCAACUAAACCUGUCUGCCUCUUGUCUAUCGAAAGCAUUAAUAAAAAACACCAAACAAAACAGGCUGAGUGACAGCUCCACAGCCACAUCCCUAAAGGCUCCUAAAGGUCAAGCGGGUGGACUAAACAGAUGCCGCAGCCUUGCCUUUGACAGCAGACCUUAGAAACAACGGGAAACACUCAUCACUCAGCCCUGCCAGCACACAGUAAGGAUGUGUUACGUGCCAGCGACCAUGAGGAAGCCCCAAAGAAGAAAAGGCCACCCUGAGACAUGAGUGGGAACACGCGGGCAACUGCCACAGAAGAUAACAGCAACGGUCCCUGUUGGCAGGCGACAGGAACCAGAGCAGGCAGGAACUUGGAGGCAACCACCGAGCUGAUAAAAAAUGAAGGCUCAGAAAUCAAGAUUAUAUAGCUUGCAAUUGGUGAAGCCAUGGUUAGGAAUCGUCUGGAUGAGCGGAAAUCCAUUCUUACUGUAUAAAACUGCUAUUGGAGGCACUGUGGGCAGUCCAGUGGAAAAGGUAGCCUCAUUCCAAGUAAUGUGACCUGUGCUGUUGUAACUGAGACGUGGUGGGACCUAGAGGAAGGCUGUACCUGAGGGAGAAGAGGCUUCGAAGAAAAGGUACCGUUUAAGGGGGAUCUGAAAUCAUAAGUACGUUUACAAGAGGAGAGGGAGGUACUCCUAGUAAACAAUAAUAUGUGCAAACUCAAGAGGUAUUUAGGGUCAGAUGAGAUAUCCAAUCUGCAGCUAUGAUAUCAGGAGGAAAUGAGACUGUCUAGCCUUAUAAAGAAAGGGUCGGUCAGAGGAG